CUUAGAAGAAGGUCGUUGUGAUUUCAAAUUCUCCGUGGGAAAAUCUGGCGGCGUUCAAGAGCAGAGUUCUCUACAUUUGGCCCAACAGCUCAAAUGGAAACUAGAGCACAAGAUCAGAAUGAAGCUCCCACACAUGGCCUUAUGACUGUUGCCCCAGUGAAGAACCUGAGGUCCAGCCUUCCCCACUCAAGACAUGCCUGAGACAAGAGUGACUGUAUUCCAAGUUGAUCCAAGAUUCGACAUCUUUGGAGGCAAGUGGAUUUCUUCUGCUGCUUCUCUGCGCUACUACAGUGGUGGUAGAGUUCAGCAGUUGCAGCCAAGCUAAUUGAUGGGACGAUUCUGAAAGAUCGGAACUGUUGCUUUCAUCUGAAAUCCUGGUAGGACUGAUCAUUGCCAGAACACUGAAGGACACAUUUAAUAGACUGUAUAUUUUCAUUCCCUUCAUUGGACUGAAAAAAAGGGAAUCACUGUUUCAUUGGUUGAAGUUACUUUUAUUGCUCUGUUGAUUGAUAUUGAUAUUGGGGGAAUUGAUACUAUUUCUUUUAAAAGGUAUUUUGAUACAUACACCAAUGGUAAAAGAUCUUUUGAUGUAUAUACAUUGAGGUUAAAAUGUGUUUUGCUAAUACACAAAAAGGGGUUUAGCUCAUGGAAAAAAAAACAGCGUGUGAGUUAAA